GGGCCCGUAGCUCAGUGGUAGAGCACCUGGCUUUUAACCAGAGGGUCGUAGGUUCGAUCCCUACCGGGCUCACCA
rnacentral:tRNA from 1 species